UGGGGAAUUUUGGACAAUGGGCGAAAGCCUGAUCCAGCAAUGCCGCGUGUGUGAAGAAGGCCUUCGGGUUGUAAAGCACUUUUGUCCGGAAAGAAAUCCUUGGCUCUAAUACAGUCGGGGGAUGACGGUACCGGAAGAAUAAGCACCGGCUAACUACGUGCCAGCAGCCGCGGUAAUACGUAGGGUGCAAGCGUUAAUCGGAAUUACUGGGCGUAAAGCGUGCGCAGGCGGUUUGCUAAGACCGAUGUGAAAUCCCCGGGCUAACCUGGGAACUGCAUUGGUGACUGGCAGGCUAGAGUAUGGCAGAGGGGGGUUAGAAUUCCACGUGUAGCAGUGAAAUGCGUAGAGAUGUGGAGGAAUACCGAUGGCGAAGGCAGCCCCCUGGGCCAAUACUGACGCUCAUGCACGAAAGCGUGGGGAGCAAACAGGAUUAGAUACCCUGGUAGUCCACGCCCUAAACGAUGUCAACUAGUUGUUGGGGAUUCAUUUCCUUAGUAACGUAGCUAACGCGUGAAGUUGACCGCCUGGGGAGUACGGUCGCAAGAUUAAAACUCAAAUGAAUUGACGGGGUCAUAGCUGUUUCCU
rnacentral:rRNA from 1 species